GAGGCUCCUAUCCAAGCUCCUCUAUAAUAACCUACUCUUAGAGCUAUGGCUAUGGCUAUGGCUAUCACCUAGCAAACAAAAAGGGGCAUUAGAUAUCAUGGGAGUAUAUGCAUGCCUCCUUAUUUCCCUCUUAUUAAUCUUUCAAACUCAUUCCAUUUCUUCCCUUUCCAAUGGAUCUCUUUCCAUUUCCAACCACUCAUUCAACUCUCAACCCCUUCAACACCAUCAUCAACUUUUGGUGAACGGAUGGGACGACGGAGAAGAGAAUACGACCGCAGUGAAUUCGGUUGUUUUAAAGGCUAAAGGGGGAAGGUCAGGCAGCGCCGGGGCGGGCACCAACAACCACCGGCCGGGGAAGGCGAAGAACGCAGCUGCGAGUUUGUUUGAGUUUAAUAUAAUUUACUUUGUUCUCAACUCUGUUGGUCUCUUCCUAUUCUUCUAUAUCAGUUCUUAAGAAGGAAUCAUAUGAAAGGAUAAGUAUCUUUUUGGUUUUGUUUGAGGAAAGUUUAGUUAUGAAUCACUUAUAACAUGUAUACAUAUGGAUCAUGGCAUGAUAUGUUAUGGAUUGAUGAAUAAAUUGGAUUUUUAAUGUUA